AGCCUAACACAUGCAGUCGAACGGCAGCACAGUAAGAGCUUGCUCUUAUGGGUGGCGAGUGGCGGACGGGUGAGGAAUACAUCGGAAUCUACCUUUUCGUGGGGGAUAACGUAGGGAAACUUACGCUAAUACCGCAUACGACCUUCGGGUGAAAGCAGGGGACCUUCGGGCCUUGCGCGGAUAGAUGAGCCGAUGUCGGAUUAGCUAGUUGGCGGGGUAAAGGCCCACCAAGGCGACGAUCCGUAGCUGGUCUGAGAGGAUGAUCAGCCACACUGGAACUGAGACACGGUCCAGACUCCUACGGGAGGCAGCAGUGGGGAAUAUUGGACAAUGGGCGCAAGCCUGAUCCAGCCAUACCGCGUGGGUGAAGAAGGCCUUCGGGUUGUAAAGCCCUUUUGUUGGGAAAGAAAAGCAGUCGAUUAAUACUCGGUUGUUCUGACGGUACCCAAAGAAUAAGCACCGGCUAACUUCGUGCCAGCAGCCGCGGUAAUACGAAGGGUGCAAGCGUUACUCGGAAUUACUGGGCGUAAAGCGUGCGUAGGUGGUUGUUUAAGUCUGUUGUGAAAGCCCUGGGCUCAACCUGGGAAUUGCAGUGGAUACUGGGCGACUAGAGUGUGGUAGAGGGUAGUGGAAUUCCCGGUGUAGCAGUGAAAUGCGUAGAGAUCGGGAGGAACAUCCAUGGCGAAGGCAGCUACCUGGACCAACACUGACACUGAGGCACGAAAGCGUGGGGAGCAAACAGGAUUAGAUACCCUGGUAGUCCACGCCCUAAACGAUGCGAACUGGAUGUUGGGUGCAAUUUGGCACGCAGUAUCGAAGCUAACGCGUUAAGUUCGCCGCCUGGGGAGUACGGUCGCAAGACUGAAACUCAAAGGAAUUGACGGGGGCCCGCACAAGCGGUGGAGUAUGUGGUUUAAUUCGAUGCAACGCGAAGAACCUUACCUGGUCUUGACAUGUCGAGAACUUUCCAGAGAUGGAUUGGUGCCUUCGGGAACUCGAAACAGGUGCUGCAUGGCUGUCGUCACCUCCUGUCCUGAGAUGUUGGGUUAAGUCCCGCACGACCCCACCCUUGUCCUUAGUUGCCAGCCCGUAAUGGUGGGAACUCUAAGGAAACCGCGGUGACAACCGAAGGAAGGUGGGGAUGACUCCAGUCUUCGGGGCCUUUCCAACAAGGCUACC
rnacentral:rRNA from 1 species